GGUUAAGCGACUAAGCGUACACGGUGGAUGCCUAGGCAAUCAGAGGCGAUGAAGGACGUGCUAAUCUGCGAUAAGCGUCGGUAAGGUGAUAUGAACCGUUACAACCGACGAUUUCCGAAUGGGGAAAC
rnacentral:rRNA from 1 species